rnacentral:rRNA from 1 species
GGUUAAGCGACUAAGCGUACACGGUGGAUGCCCUGGCAGUCAGAGGCGAUGAAGGACGUGCUAAUCUGCGAUAAGCGUCGGUAAGGUGAUAUGAACCGUUAUAACCGGCGAUUUCCGAAUGGGGAAACCCAGUGUGUUUCGACACACUAUCAUUAACUGAAUCCAUAGGUUAAUGAGGCGAACCGGGGGAACUGAAACAUCUAAGUACCCCGAGGAAAAGAAAUCAACCGAGAUUCCCCCAGUAGCGGCGAGCGAACGGGGAGGAGCCCAGAGCCUGAAUCAGUGUGUGUGUUAGUGGAAGCGUCUGGAAAGGCGCGCGAUACAGGGUGACAGCCCCGUACACAAAAAUGCACAUGCUGUGAGCUCGAUGAGUAGGGCGGGACACGUGGUAUCCUGUCUGAAUAUGGGGGGACCAUCCUCCAAGGCUAAAUACUCCUGACUGACCGAUAGUGAACCAGUACCGUGAGGGAAAGGCGAAAAGAACCCCGGCGAGGGGAGUGAAAAAGAACCUGAAACCGUGUACGUACAAGCAGUGGGAGCACGCUUAGGCGUGUGACUGCGUACCUUUUGUAUAAUGGGUCAGCGACUUAUAUUCUGUAGCAAGGUUAACCGAAUAGGGGAGCCGAAGGGAAACCGAGUCUUAACUGGGCGUUAAGUUGCAGGGUAUAGACCCGAAACCCGGUGAUCUAGCCAUGGGCAGGUUGAAGGUUGGGUAACACUAACUGGAGGACCGAACCGACUAAUGUUGAAAAAUUAGCGGAUGACUUGUGGCUGGGGGUGAAAGGCCAAUCAAACCGGGAGAUAGCUGGUUCUCCCCGAAAGCUAUUUAGGUAGCGCCUCGUGAAUUCAUCUCCGGGGGUAGAGCACUGUUUCGGCAAGGGGGUCAUCCCGACUUACCAACCCGAUGCAAACUGCGAAUACCGGAGAAUGUUAUCACGGGAGACACACGGCGGGUGCUAACGUCCGUCGUGAAGAGGGAAACAACCCAGACCGCCAGCUAAGGUCCCAAAGUCAUGGUUAAGUGGGAAACGAUGUGGGAAGGCCCAGACAGCCAGGAUGUUGGCUUAGAAGCAGCCAUCAUUUAAAGAAAGCGUAAUAGCUCACUGGUCGAGUCGGCCUGCGCGGAAGAUGUAACGGGGCUAAACCAUGCACCGAAGCUGCGGCAGCGACGCUUAUGCGUUGUUGGGUAGGGGAGCGUUCUGUAAGCCUGUGAAGGUGUGCUGUGAGGCAUGCUGGAGGUAUCAGAAGUGCGAAUGCUGACAUAAGUAACGAUAAAGCGGGUGAAAAGCCCGCUCGCCGGAAGACCAAGGGUUCCUGUCCAACGUUAAUCGGGGCAGGGUGAGUCGACCCCUAAGGCGAGGCCGAAAGGCGUAGUCGAUGGGAAACAGGUUAAUAUUCCUGUACUUGGUGUUACUGCGAAGGGGGGACGGAGAAGGCUAUGUUGGCCGGGCGACGGUUGUCCCGGUUUAAGCGUGUAGGCUGGUUUUCCAGGCAAAUCCGGAAAAUCAAGGCUGAGGCGUGAUGACGAGGCACUACGGUGCUGAAGCAACAAAUGCCCUGCUUCCAGGAAAAGCCUCUAAGCAUCAGGUAACAUCAAAUCGUACCCCAAACCGACACAGGUGGUCAGGUAGAGAAUACCAAGGCGCUUGAGAGAACUCGGGUGAAGGAACUAGGCAAAAUGGUGCCGUAACUUCGGGAGAAGGCACGCUGAUAUGUAGGUGAAGUCCCUCGCGGAUGGAGCUGAAAUCAGUCGAAGAUACCAGCUGGCUGCAACUGUUUAUUAAAAACACAGCACUGUGCAAACACGAAAGUGGACGUAUACGGUGUGACGCCUGCCCGGUGCCGGAAGGUUAAUUGAUGGGGUCAGCGCAAGCGAAGCUCUUGAUCGAAGCCCCGGUAAACGGCGGCCGUAACUAUAACGGUCCUAAGGUAGCGAAAUUCCUUGUCGGGUAAGUUCCGACCUGCACGAAUGGCGUAAUGAUGGCCAGGCUGUCUCCACCCGAGACUCAGUGAAAUUGAACUCGCUGUGAAGAUGCAGUGUACCCGCGGCAAGACGGAAAGACCCCGUGAACCUUUACUAUAGCUUGACACUGAACAUUGAGCCUUGAUGUGUAGGAUAGGUGGGAGGCUUUGAAGUGUGGACGCCAGUCUGCAUGGAGCCGACCUUGAAAUACCACCCUUUAAUGUUUGAUGUUCUAACGUUGACCCGUAAUCCGGGUUGCGGACAGUGUCUGGUGGGUAGUUUGACUGGGGCGGUCUCCUCCUAAAGAGUAACGGAGGAGCACGAAGGUUGGCUAAUCCUGGUCGGACAUCAGGAGGUUAGUGCAAUGGCAUAAGCCAGCUUGACUGCGAGCGUGACGGCGCGAGCAGGUGCGAAAGCAGGUCAUAGUGAUCCGGUGGUUCUGAAUGGAAGGGCCAUCGCUCAACGGAUAAAAGGUACUCCGGGGAUAACAGGCUGAUACCGCCCAAGAGUUCAUAUCGACGGCGGUGUUUGGCACCUCGAUGUCGGCUCAUCACAUCCUGGGGCUGAAGUAGGUCCCAAGGGUAUGGCUGUUCGCCAUUUAAAGUGGUACGCGAGCUGGGUUUAGAACGUCGUGAGACAGUUCGGUCCCUAUCUGCCGUGGGCGCUGGAGAACUGAGGGGGGCUGCUCCUAGUACGAGAGGACCGGAGUGGACGCAUCACUGGUGUUCGGGUUGUCAUGCCAAUGGCACUGCCCGGUAGCUAAAUGCGGAAGAGAUAAGUGCUGAAAGCAUCUAAGCACGAAACUUGCC